rnacentral:lncRNA from 1 species
CUGAAAGCUGUCUCAGAGGAGCCAGCGCCGGAAGUCACCAUGUUGACUUGAGCACUGGAUGUGUGUGGACCCUUCUUCUUAGAUUGAAGAGGUGCAGUUUUCUUAUAGAAGCACUGUGGAGACAAAUGGUUGGUCCGACCACACACAUAACAGAAACGAGCACCACCUUCCUCUUUCUUCUUCUUCUGCUCCUGGGAUUGAAUAGGCUUCCCAUUGUAGUGGUGGUUAGAGUUUCUAGUGUUGUAGGGUUUCUUUUUGAAAUUCUUACGGAAGGGUCGGUUCUGAUUUUUCUUAGGAGGAGCCUCUACAUUAUAUGCAUUAUUUUUGGGUCCAGUAGAGGUAUUAUUUCUGAGCCUAUGCUGCUCUUCAAUCCUAAUAGAGUUUAAGACUUGGGUUAGGGUGAGAACACUUUGGGUAUGGCUCAGGGUCUUGGCAAAAUCAGACCAGGAAGUAGGUAGUUUAUCUAUCAGACAGGCUACCUGGAAUGAUUCAUCCAAAUUGGUUCCAUUAGC